rnacentral:lncRNA from 1 species
UUCCCUCUAUUUCCCUCUAUAUAUAUAUCAGAGGUAGAAGUAGUCCCUAGGGUUUACUUCUCUCCGUUGACAAUUCAUAGCAAGCUCCGAUGACCUGAAUUACAUUGUUUCUAGUGCCUACAUGAAUCAGGUAAAUCAAUUUUCCUCUUCCUAAUUUGUUCCUUCGUACUAUCUUUUAGGGUUAAUCAAAUCGUUGUUCAUACUUGUUUUAGAGUUUUAUGUGGAGAAUUUGAUGUUGUAUUUCUACUAGAUGAGUUUAAUUUCUUUGAUAUGCUUUACUUGAUUCGAGAGUGUGUUGGAAACAAGAUUCUCUACUUUCACAAGUUAUGGGUAAGGUUUGGGUAUGUUGUUGUUGUUAGACGAGUUUAAUUCUGCCAAGUUAACAUUUUUCUGAAACAAUUCUAGUGCAUAAGCUUUUUGUGAGCCAAGGGUUUAUCAGAAACCGUCUCUCAUGGUUAUGGAUGCAAAUAACUUAUGUUCUUCAAAUUAAAUCAUUUAUUAUAAAAAAGUACUUUCGGAGAAAAAAAUCUGUGUUUUGUGUUGUAUGUGCUCAAAAUGACUUCUCUUUUGGCCACACCUCGAAUGUACAAAAGAGUGUUUUUUGUGCUUUUAGCCUCACAGAAGCCUUUAGCCAAAUAGGCUAUACUAGAAACAUUAGAAUUCCUAUUCUUUCUAACUUUCCAAUAUUUCUUAAAAGAUUCAUUGAUUACGUCUAUCAAGAAUGCAACAAUUGCGAAUGGAAUAUAUUUCAAUGAUUAAAAAGAAUGACUAUAGAGAAAUUGGCUUGUCUUAAAUUGUUGAUCAUCAAAGAAUCUCCUAAUUUGAAUAAGGAAUCUAAUUGUUAAUCAUCAUAGAAUAUGACCAAAAAGGAAUAUUAACCCCUACAAUAACAACAUACCCGAUGUAAUCCCAUAAGUGGGGUGGGGAGAGACUAGAAUGGUGCUUGACUCAAGACAGAACUUAAGUUGCUGUUUUCACUCCUUUCUUUAUCCCGUUCACAUUCUUUUUCCUUAUAUUGUUUCUCCUUUUCUCUUGCAGAUUCUCAUUUUUGGUCCCUCUCGUUGUCAUCAUUUGCCUUAUCCUUCAGGCUAGGUUCAUCUUUCCGAAGUUUUUCUUUUCUCUUUUAUUAUAUUUUGCAGCUCAUACACAUUCUUUGUAAUGAGAUCCAAAGGUUGUAGAAACUUGAAGUCUUCAUCCAUAUCGGUUUCAUCCUACAUUCUUUAGUUAUUGUUGGUUAGUUCAACAUUAUCAAAAGAACUAAACUUCAGAUACAAAAAUUAGAAUAUCAAAAUGGUUGCAUUACAUUGCUCCAAUUUGUUUCUAGUUCAAGAUAUUCAAUACCCUUUGGCACAUAGGUAACAAAAGCACCGAGAGAAUGGAAAUCUACUUCCUCCUAGUGCACAAAGGGAAUAUAACAAUUCUCACAUAAGAGCACAAUGAAAGGAAUUCUACUUCCUCCUGGUGCUCUUGUUACCUUUGUGCAAAAGGGUAUUCGAUAUCUUGAACUAGAAACAAAAUGGAGAAAUGUUAUGCAAACAUUUUGACAUUCUGAUUUUUGUAUUUGAGGUUUAACUCUUUUGAUAACUCUAAACUAAUCAAUAAUAACUAAGAAAUGCAAAAUAGUACUGAUAUGGAUGAAAAUUUCUAGUUUCUACAGACUUUGGAUCUCGUUACAUAGAAUGCAUAUGAUCUGCAAAAUAUAUUUAAAAAGUUGUUAACUUUGCCAUUGCAGAAUCAACUCAAUGCUAUCAAGUGGGAACCCUCAGGUUCAUUUGCUGACUUCAUGCUCUGAUGCUACCACAAUUAAGGUAAUUCCUAUCUUGUCCUUCUAAAGCAGGUAAAGUAUCAAAGAAGAAAACAAAACAGCAGUUGUGUCUUCACAUGUUUCAGAAAAUUUCUUUUUAUGUCUUCUAAGUACCUUUGAAUAUUUAUUUAGGUUCUGAAUUUAUGUAUGAGUUGUGUUAAUGCAUCUUAUUGACUUUUUAAUUUGAGCAUUCCUUGCCAUUUUAUUUUUAUGUUAUCACGAAGUCCCUUAUUUAAAUCUUUGUUAUGAAUUAUUGGAACUUGCAAAUGUUGCUCCUCAAGAAAAAUCAGCUUAAAUCGUGGUGUGUGGAUUAGGUGCACGUCACGUUUUGAACUAUGCUGCAGACAUAAGCUUGGUAUAUUUAAAUGGAAUAGGGUAGAGUGGCGGUGCGCUAUGCCGCUGGUCCUCGGGGAUUUAUUGAUUAACAGAAAGAAAUCUGCAUUGACUAUUAUGCCUUUUUAGGAGAUAUAUACCAUCAAAUGAAGUCCAACUGAAGCUGGUAGAAGCAAUCUGAAUCAACAGUUAUGCUGGCAAGUUAUUCUAUCUAUUGCUACCAGUCUUGUUUACAAUAGUCUUUCUAUCAUUCUUGAUUAUAUAUUACUUAUCUUUUCGGUUAGAUUAGAUUUAUUCAUGUUAAACACUUAUUGGUUUUUCACACUACAAUCCCCCACCCCACCCAAACACACAUAGACAUCCCAAAAGAACAACAAAGGGGGGAAAUAAAGAUUAAUGGGAAUGCCAUCCCUCACCUGACUGAUUUGCCUUCCACACUAGGCCUAUAAAUGUUUAGGCAUCUAGGAAGAAAUCACCUAAAGCUUUUUGUCCUUUUUAGGAUUUGAACUCUAGUCUCCAUUAUAUUCUCUCAUUUCAUUGCUCCCUAGUUUAUGGCCUUGGGUGCAUUGGGCCUGACUUGCCUCUUUAGUUUUUUCUUCUUUUUCUGGUACACUAUUGACAAAGGUGCACUUAAGCCCUGAAACAAGGCUAAGAAUGUGGCGAGUGCUUCGCCUCACUGAAUGUUCAUACAUAAGGGGGAAAGUAGGCCAGGAAAAAUUUAACGGACGAAUAUUACAAAUAAGCAUGCAUCUAACCUUGUGGAAAUAAUCAUACUUACAAUUAUUAGUUAAGAACUACACACAUAUAUUUGUUUUUUUUUCUCCAUUUGCGCUUUGCUCUAAAAGUCCCAACGAACUUUAAAACCCCAAGAGUUGAGUUGCAAAUUUUGGAAUGACAGCAAUCUGGCCUGUAAUCCCUUUCGAGUAAAAAUAUUCCAGAGAGAUACAAUUUCACUUUAACCAUCCAUCAAAUGGAUUCUUGGUGUGCGAUGAGCCCAAAAAGGGAUCUAAUUAUUGCACCUAACCUUUUAGUUCUAUGAGCUUACUGGUUUUGUUUUAUUGUUUGUCUGUGUAGUGGUUCAUUUAACUCUACUGUGAAGGUAUGGCAUGUUGAACGAGGGAGUCUUCUUCAUAGUUUGAAUGGUAACAUGUAAUGGAUGUAAACUCAUUAUGUCUAAUAAAAUGAAAGAAAGUGUCAGUCACAAUUUGAAAGCAAAAUCAAAGAAUGAGGCGGAAGAUGACCAGUGAGAAAUCAUAAUCGUACCUUAAUCCAGUAAAUCACAACUUGAAGAAAUCAAAAUCCUCUAAUUUUGACCUCUUCUCCAUCUCCACUUCAACAAUCGAGCCAAAACUUCAUUGUUUUUCUAUAAAAAAACAUUUUUUUUCAAACGAGUUCAUUUUUCAACACAGCUGAGCUUUACUACCUCUUUCCGGAAAUUGAUGCUUCAAAAUUAUUGAUUACCCGUCCAACGUUCAUCAGAGUGAGUUCGAUCACAAUCAACGAAAAAUUUGUGGCAUCGAAACAGACGUUGAAAAUCAAUGAGGGAAAUGGAUUUUUACGGUACAUGAUGGUGUAGACGACGAUGUUAAAGGUGGUGAUAGAGAAGUUUGUAGUGGAAGCGAAGACAAUGAAUUUGAUGGCGAUAGCUCCGGCGAAGGCGAUUGAUACCACACACUUCGAUUCCUGCACCGUGAGAGAAUGGGAAAGGGGUUUGGGGAAAAAAUUGAGGGGAAUGACUAAAAAGUUAAUUAAAGGGAAAAUUGGGAUUUGGGAAGUAACACUCUUUUUUUCAAGGAUAAUUUGGAUAAGAUCCCCCGCAAGUAUAAUUAAAAAAUAGCGGCGUCCAGAAAAACUCCGGAAUUUGAUAUAACUUUGAGGAAGUUCUAGUAACCUCCCCCAUUAAACCUCCGCAAAAUCAACUAUUUUUUGUAGUGGGCAUUCUUAAUAAAUCAGUAUUCUCAAAGGCUAUCGUCUUAUAUGUGGUUUGUUUACUUGUACUCAGUUGAACUAUCAAUCAAUUUUCUCAAAGGCGAUCGCCUUUGGCGAAUGGCGAGGUGAGGCGCAGCCUUUACGCCCAUUACUGGCAAGGUGAGGCGACCUCAAAAUGGCGAGCAAAGGCAAGUGGGAGGUGAGGUGAGCCAAUAAAGGCGUCACCUUUAUUUUUUUUUAAAUGGCCUGAAUUAAUAAUUAAAAGGUAGCAUUACGAUUUAUUUGGAGUUUUGGACAAACCCAGCUCUGCUUUCCCUUUUUUUCCCUCGAGUUCGUAGUAGUGACUCUCUUCUCCAGCUUCGUGACCUCCAGCAGGUACGUUUUCUCCCUUCUUCUUCAGUUCUUCUGUCUCCUCUGCUUCGUGACCUUUAGCAGCUACAUUUUUAGCAAUUGUUUUCUUCUUCUUUAAUGUGCAGUCAGCAGUGUGCACAGUCUUUGUUUUUUUUUUGCUCUGUUAUUUAAUUUCUGCAGACUAUUGCAAUAUGGCUAUUGUUUUCUUUAAGAAAAUAUUCUAGUCCUUCGAUAUUUAUUUCUUCCCAACUCAAUUUAGUUUUAUAGUAAUUAUACGGUUAGUUUUGACUUAAUGUUUGCUAAUAUGUUAUUGCUAUUUGAAAUUUUGAAUAUCUAUAUAUUCAAAUAUUUUGGAUAUCUAUGUAUUCAAAGGACGGGUGCCUCGUCGAGCCUUGUCGCCUUUCGCCGUCCAAAACACUACUAUCAAUACCUAUAUACCUAUUCCAUUUAUUUGGGUGGGGACGUAUGGGGAGGGGAGAGAGUGGACUGAGAAUGAGGUAACUGGGUAUCUUUCUAUCAGAUCAUCAAAUCUUCGUAUCCUUCUUGUUGAAUUUUUUUGUUUUUUUACCGAUUAGGUUCUCUUCCAUAUUGAAUCUAGGAAACCUCUUUACUCUGUUAUAUUUAGUCUGAAUGAUGAAUACUUAGCAAGUAGGUCAUUGGAUAAAUGUAUGAAUAUAUGGUUAAUGAAGGAGGCCAAGAUUAUAAAAACUUACAAUGGUGAUGGCGGUAUUUUUGAAGUGUGUUGGAGAAAGGAAGGGAACAAUCUCUUCCAUUUUGAAUCCAGGAAACUUGUUUACUUUGUUGCAUUCAGUCCAAACAGUGAAUACUUGGUAAGUGGGUCAUUGGAUAAAUGCAUGAAUAUAUGAUCAGUGAAGGAGGCCAAGAUUGUAAAACUUAUAAUGGUGAUGCCAAUAUUUCAAAGUGUAUUGGAACAAGGAAGGCAACAAUGUGGCACCUUCUUUUGCAAACAACAAGGUUUGUGUGUUUGAUAUUCGAUUGUGGAGGUUGAGGAAUAACUUUAAAAGGACUUAGGAACACUAAGGCACGGAUUUCACAAUUCCAGAAACUCUGCCUUGCAGAAACGCAUAUUGUAGAUAAGUUUUUUUUAAUUUGUCACUCGAUGUUCAGUUUACCCACGUUGGGGCCGACUAUAUCAUUAUGACUUUGAUUUAAACUUAGGGUUGUGGUACCCUAAUGAUUUAGUAGCCCCAAUAUGGGUAAACCGGACACCGAGUGACAAAUCAAAAAAGCUUAUCUACAAUCUGCAUUUCUGCACGAGAGAGUUUCUUGAAUUGUGAAAUUCCUGCCUCCUCUGUGUUGCCAAGUACUUUUAAAGCUAUUUCUCAACCUCUACAAUCAAAUAUCAAACACACAAACCUUGUUGUUUGCAAAAGAAGGUGCCACAUUGUUGCCUUCCUUGUUCCAAUACACUUUGAAAUAUUGGCAUCACCAUUAUAAGUUUUACAAUCUUGGCCUCCUUCACUGAUCAUAUAUUCAUGCAUUUAUCCAAUGACCCACUUACCAAGUAUUCACUGUUUGGACUGAAUGCAACAAAGUAAACAAGUUUCCUGGAUUCAAAAUGGAAGAGAACCUACUCAGUAAAAAAAUAAAUAUUCAAAAUAGAAGAUAGUUCUUAUUAGUUGAAGGGAAAUGGUCUUUUUGUGGAGCUUUGGACUCAACUCUUGUUCAGAGUUUGUUGAGUUAUACUUUGUAAAUCGGUUGUUGUGUUUUAUAGAGGAAAAGUGAAGAAUACUACAGUUGGACCAAUUUAAUGGUAAACAUUUCAAGAGAUGGAGGAGUAAAAUACUUUUCUACUUAUAUCUACUCAAUGUUUCUUAUGUGCUAACUAAGAAGAAUCCUAGUAAAGUUGACAACACCUCUAUGAAUGAUGAUGAACUUAUUUCUCAUCUAGAGAAGUGGAAAAGUACGAUGGUGAUUCCUACAAGUGUCGGUAUUACAUUCUUACUUGUCUAUUAUAUUUGAUAACUUUUAUGAUUAUUAUAAUUGAACUUACUCUAAUGCAAAGAAAAUUUGGAGAAUAUUGCAUAGUAAGUAUGAUACUGAAGAAGCUGGAGCGAAAAAAUAUGUAGCUAGUAGAUUUUUUCAUUUUCAAAUAGUGGACAACAAAUCAAUGGUUGACCAAGCUCAAGACUUUAUGAUGAUUGUUGAAGAGCUCCGGUCCGAGGAGAUCAAAAUUGGAGAUAACCUUAUUGUUUGUGGCAUAAUAGAUAAACGUCCACCUUCUUGGAAGGAAUUUCAAAAACCUAUGCGCCACAAACAAAAGAAAACCUCUCAUGAGUAAUUGAUAAUGUGAAUCUUCAUGGAAGAGGAGGCAAGGGGCCAAGAUACACUUUUACAAUUAGAAGAGAGUAAUAUUACAAUGAGGUAAAUUUAAUAAGUUCAAAUAACUCUACUCCUAAAUCUCACAAAAAUACUUCUAUAAAGCCUAAGAAGAAAAAUUUCAAGAAAAACAAUCGCCGAUCUCUUAAAAAGAAAAAUAAUGGUACAAAUAACCAAGAACAAAAUCAACAAGUUCAAGACAAGGGACCGUGCAUUGUCUACGAUAAGUUGAUUCUGGUGAAAACUGUCAUGUCUGUCAUGACGUCAGAGAUUGAUUUAAAAAAUAUUCUCCUUUCGAGGAACCCAAAAUCAUCAUGCUUGGUGAUUCUCAUACUAUUCAAGUGCUUGAAACAGAAGAUGUCGAAUUGUGUUUUACCUAUGAAAGGGUAUUGACUUUGAAAGAUGUACUUUAUACUCCUUCCAUAAGAAAAAAAAAAUUGAUGUCUAAUUUUCUUCUUAAUAAAAAAGGUUUCAAACAAAUUAUUUAACUAUCAAUAUAUAAUUGUAAAAAGGCUAUUUUGUGGAAAAGGGGUAUGCUAGUGAUAAGAUGUUCAAGUUGAAUGUUGAAAUGAAUAAAGUUUUUACUUUUAUUUACAUACUCUCUUCUACUAAUUUUUGGUAUGCUCAUUUGUGUCAUAUUAAUGAUCAUUAUUUUGGAAUCAUGAUUAGUUUAAGAUUAAUCCCAAUGAUUAGAAAGAAUUUUGAAAAGUGUGAAGCUUGUAGUAAAGCCAAGAUCACUAAGAGACUACAUUUUCAAGUUGAAAGAAAAGCUGAUUUAUUAGAAUCAUAAGUUCACACCGAUAUUUGUGAACUUGGAGAAAUUUUAAUUCGUGGAGGAAAUAGAUACUCAUCACUUUCAUUGAUGAUUUUUCUAAGUUAACAUAUGUUUACUUUUUUUUUUUGAGAUAAUUAACAUAUGUUUACUUGAUGAAAAAUAAAAGUAAUGCUUUUGAAAAUUUUAAAACUUAUCCAUGAGGUUAAAAAUCAAUUUGAAAGAAAAAUAAAGAGAACUAGAAGUCACGAUAGAGGCCGUGAAUAUGAGUCAAAUGAGUUUAAUCCUUAUUCUCCUAUAUGAAAUGGUGUAGCGAAAAGGUCACAAGCCAAGUUUGAGAUAUUUAAGAGUUUGGAAAGUUACUACUUGUGUUUUUCUUGUUAUGCUUCAAAUAGUAGAGUCUAUAGAUUUUUUUAAUCUUGAAGAUAAUAUUAUAAUAGAAUGUGGUGAGACUAUUUUUCAUAAAAACAAAUUCCCUUUUGAUUCUAAAAAUAGUUGGAGGUCAGAGGAUUGAACAAAAUAUUUUGUCACUACCUUGUUCUACGUCUACUUUGUGACAUAAAAUAUUGAUGAUUUUGAGUUAAGAAGAAGUAAAAGAGGUAGAGUAGAAAAAUAUUUUUGUCCUGAUUUUUAUGUUUUUAAUGUUAGAGAUGAACCUCCUAUUUUACAAGAAGUUUUAUCUUUACAUGAUUCUAUUUAUUUAUUUUUUUGAAAAGAGGUUGUAAAUGAGGAAAUGAAAUCACUAAUUUCUAAUAAAACAUGGAAAUUAGUUGGUUUACAACCGGGUUGUAAAAUAAUUGAUUGCAAAUGGGUCUUACGAUUUUUUUUUGAAAUAGAAUGGUUCUAUUGAUAAAUAUAAGGCUAGACUAGUUGCUAAAUGUUUUAAGGAACUACAAGGCCUUUAAUUUUUUGAUACUUUUUCUUUGAUAAUUAGAAUUACAUCCAUUAAAUUUCUAAUUUUUAUGGAUGCAAUUUUUUAUUUGCAUAUUCAUCAAAUGGAUGUAAAAACUAUUAUUUUUUUUAAAAUAGAGGCCCAAAUGAGAAAAUUUAUAUGGAUCAACCGAGUGAUUUAACUUGUUAAAGUAGACCAAGAAAGCAAAAUGUGUAAACUUACAAGAACAUGUGAUGAAACUUUCUUUGACCAAUCAUAUUAUGUUGAGAAAUUUUGAAAAAAAUAUAACUUUCUUGAUUGCAAGCAUGUUGUAACUUCUUUUUAUUCUAGUGUUCAUUUAUUUUUUGUUCAAAGUAAAAAUGAUGUGAUAAAUCAAAAGGAAUAUGCUUGCUUAAUUUAAAGUUUGAAAUAUGUGAUUUAUUGUAUUAGGCAUAAUAUUGUAUAUACAGUAGGAGUACUUAGCAAGUUCACAAGAAAGCUAGAUAAUGAACAUUGACAUGCUAUAACAAGAGUUGUGAAAUAUUUAAUUGAGACAAAAACUUGUAAUUUGUUCUAUAAAAAGAUAAUGUUGUACUUGAAGGCUUUCUGAAGCAUAUUGAAAACUUUAUCACGUGAUUCCUCUUCUACCACUAGUUACAUUUUUACUUUGGGUGGUGGUGCUAUUUGUUGGAAAUCAAAAAAGAAAGCAAUAAUUGUUAACUCUACUAUAGAGGCUGAAGUAAUUAUUUUAGCUUGAGCUAGUGAGGAAGCAAAUUGGUUGAGAGAUUUAUUAAUUAUUUCAAAUACCUUCUUUUGAAAAUUAAUUCCUCGUAUUUUAACUUAUUGUUAUAACACUGCUGCAAUUAGUAGAGUUCAAAAUCGUUAUUACAACAAUAUAUCCAAACCUAUAAGGAGGAAACAUAGUAAUGUGAGAUCAUAUUUGGCAAGUGAUACCAUUAAUGUUUAUCAUGUCAAAUCUUGGGAAAAUCUUGCAGAUCAUCUUACUAAGGCUUUAAUAGGAGAAAAGGUCUAGAGCAUAUCGAGGGGGAUGAGAUUGAAGUCUAUAUAUCAUUGAGUCAUAUAUGAGGAAACCCAACCUAGGGACUAGAGUUCCUAUAACCAGGUACAAUGAGAAAAUUAAACGAAUCAUAUGCUGACUUGUUGUGAAAAAUGCACUAUUUCUAUUCCCCUCUAUGAUGUGAGUGCAUUGUUUUUUUGUAGUAAAUUAGGGAGGUUGAGUUUAAAAACUCUUAAUGAAAAAUAUAUAGCCCAUAUGGGUGGAGUUUUAAACUUACAGGAGCACUCUCGAAAGAUUUCAUCUAUCUGAGUAAGGAAGUAGGUUGUUUCCUAUAAGAAUUUGGCUAAUUCUCAAAAGCACUCAUAAAAUCACGAUAGCACAAGGCCGUAAUGUGCUGAUUUUUAAAGCUCAUGCCAACACCUUGAUUAUUAUGUGUAACUAGUCAUAUUUUAUUUUCCUUAAACAGUCAUAGUUUAAGUCUGACACCAUUAUGACUUAGGAGUAAAAAUUAUUGUUUUACUAAGUGAAGGUUCAAUGUAUAUUUUUUCCGCUGAGCCUACACCCUGGAUAUGGCCGACACUCGUAACGAUUGCUAGUCCCAAUCGAACCUUUGGCCUUAUUAACUAUGGUACAUAUGGCUUUAUAGAAUAUGCAGAAGCUUUAAUAGAUGAGAAUUUCAAAACAUUUAAAGAACAUAAAACCAUUAUCUGAAAAUACUUAAUAUAAAUAGUAAACGUUUAGCAAAAACAUCUGAGUAAGUAUUGUAACUAUCUUACUUCCUAUCGAUGAAGCCUCUACUAUCUAAAGAUAGGUGAUGGGAAAACAUGCACGACACCUCAAAGUACUACUAAAACUAAAUAAUAAGCUGGAGUCCUACAAAAGCAAGGAGGUCUCACAAAAAUCUGAUGAGAGGAUGUGGUAAUCUCAACGCAAUGCUUGUUGAUGAUCCUAAAUACCUGAAUCUGUAUCAUGAAAUGAUGCAAGUCGAAUGACAUCAGCACAUUAAAUGUAUGGUGUGUAAUAGGGCUGAAUAAAACAAAUAACUGAACUGAAAGAGAUUGAAAGUAACCUGAUUGAAAGUGUAGCUUGAACAUGAGGUAAAAUCAUUUAAGUUUUACAAUAUAAGACAUGCAAUAGAAACAACAUUAAAAUAAUAUAAUAUACUUUUUUGGGGAGUUCCUCUAACAAAAUAUUAUAACUAUGAGCCUAGUAAUGAUACAACGUCCUGCCCACAUUGCCAAAGUCAUCAUAUACCUUGCCGGGUAUAGGAUAACAACUAUAAUCUAUGGAUCCAUCCAAUAUGUCUUACAGAGAGGAAGUGAGGAGUCACCCGAAAUUCGAUACGAUCCUAUCUUAUACGUUGACUACGUAGUUUAUGAGGCUUUUAGUUAAAAUGAACUCUUACUCAAUUCGGUGCUAGAUACUAUCCCAGAAUAAUCAAUAUUAAUUAUGCUCAAUAGCCUUGUUUAGGAACUGGCCUUUAUUUCACUUUCCUUUACUGAAAUGAUUUUCAAAAAAUCAAUUAUGCUAUUUUUUCUCAAUUUCCAAAUAGAAUAUAUGAAACCAUUUAUGUCGUUUUAAAAUCCCAUUUCAAAUCAUGCAUUUAAAUGCUCAUGGACUCUCUUUCCAAGUCCGAAAUUAAUGUAUAAGAAAAACUCAUAUAGGAACCUUUUAAAAAUAUGACUUCAAUAAAUAGGGCUCAUGUAAUAAUGAAAUUAUGAACAACUGUUUAAGAAUCAAUAUUCAUAAGAGAAUCGAAAUCUAAAUGAUUAAGAAAUCGGAACUCAAGAAAAGAAAACACAAACCGAAUUUCGAUUUCAAGAGACUAUGUGUAGAACCCUAAACAUAAUAUUUUACUGAAUGGAUUUAGAUGUAGGGUGUGAGGAAAAACAUAGUCCAUCACUAUGAGUAGUCUUACAUACCUUAAUGACGAUUCUUGAAGAAAAAUCUUGACAGAUGAAGUGUGUAGAAGAAUCUUGAAUUGAAAACCUUAGGUAUCUUGAAGAGAAUCUUGAACUUGGAGCCUUUAGAUCUUGGAAAAUUGGAGAAAUCCCUUUCUUGGAGUUCUUGAUCUUUAGAAGAAGGAGAAUUAGGGAUGUUGAGAAUUUCUAUACGUAUAAUGAUAUUAGGUUACAAUAUGGACUUAGAAAAGUUAUUUCAGGGUAAAAGGUCAAGAAUACCCUUCUGGAAACAUAAGAAGACCAUAUAAAUCAAAGAGAAUGACAUUUUAAUGGAUCUCGUCUGCCAAAUUGGUGAUCUCGAGGUCCCCCAUUGAAAUAUUUGGCGAUUAGCCAAAUGGGCCUUUAGAUCGCCAAAAUAUCUAGAGACUCGAUGUUUUAAGGCUAUUUCAGCGAGCUAAUUUGGCGAUUCAUCAAAUCAUUCAGUGAGUUGCCAAAUGGGAUGGUGUCCUCGCCGAAUUUCUUAGCCCGCACAUAGUGGCAGAGCCAAGAAUUUCACAAAGGGUGUCCAAAAAUAACACAGUAAAAGCACUUUUCAAAAAGUAGAACUAGUGGGUUCAAACACACCAAGCACGUCCUCAUUCCAAGGAGGUGAAACUAGUGGGCUACAACUUGUUGUGUUAAAGGGUGUCCAAAAUAUGUUAUUUAAUCAUUUCGUGUAUCAUUUUACUUGUAUAUAAGAUAUUUUUUUCCGGUGAAGUGGACACCCUAACCACCAUGUGGCUACGCCAUUGCCUGCACAUAGUCCAAUAAAAUAACCUCCAAAGUCUGAUUGAUGCAAACUUGAUGGCGUUGGAAAAAGGACUAAUAAAACUUAUCAUGGGCCACCUCACUCUUUAUAUGUUGACAGUUUGAAGUUGACCUUUAUAUGAACUCAUGCGAGAACAUAGCCGAUAGAAAUGCUUUGAACUUGGCUUGGUGUUUGAGGUUCCUUAUGACCCUAGAUAACUCUCGAUACCCUUGACAAACUUGGCAAUGGACCUUACUACAUAUGAACAAGUAGUACAUCACCUAGUUCAAGCUCAUAUUCUUAUGAUGAACGAUUCAGCUUUUAAGAGUAGAGUUGCAAGGUUUUACAAAAUGAUUCGAGUCUUAGCUUAUAAGAAAUUUUCAGGGUGUCACAGCAGAGCACGCGUUCAUUAUGCAUAGUAGUCUUCCUUCAGUUGAUAAACUCUUAUUUAAUAUUAACAUGAGUACGAAAUUAUUGUUUUUCUUAUAGAAUUUUAAUAUUAUAAAAUGUUUUUUAGGGAUGACAGGGAUCAGAUUAGUGCAUCAUUCCUUGGCAGUUAGUGUUUGUAUCUCAUUUUUUGUGCAUUACUUUGAACAUUCAAUUGUACAGUAGUGUUUUCCGUUGAGUUGUGCAGCAAUUGCAUUUUAACGUUAGUGGCAUUUGGUUGUCCACAUUACUUCACUCUUUAUUCUUCCAUUAUACCUUUUAACUUAUGUAAUCUUUAGGCUAUUUAUCUUCUCGAUUUACUUCUCCAUUAUCUUUAUUCAUUGUAAGGAAGACUUCCUCACCUAUAAGUAGUGGUGGUUUUCCAUUGUUUUUUAUACAAGAAAAUAUAGAGUGCAUAAAAGUUAGUUAUAAAAUAGAGUUCUUAUUAAUUGAAGGGGAGUGUUCUUUUUGUGGACUUUUGGACUCAACUCUUUUCCAAAAUUUGUUAAGUUAUACUUUGUGAAUUAGCUAUUGUAAGAUCUUGGGCAUAUUUGUAUGUUUAAAAGCCAAGUGAACCCAUGUUUUAACUAAAUUUGAGAAUAAGUUUCGUUGUGUUUGUAGUUAUUAAGUCUUGUUUAUGUUAUUUUGGCUAACCAAAUUGUUUAGUGUUGUAGGUUGGAAAGCAUGUGCAUUGGAUAACCAAAUUGAGGAUGAAGUCAGAACAAGUGUGCAUGUCACAAGGAGAGCUGAAGAAGGAACUCAACUCCACUUUCUCUCCGUGUCACGAAUAAUUUGAGAAGAAAAAUAUGGCCACGAAAAUAAAUUGGAACCAAAGGCCUCCGAAAAGGCUCCCUGUCGCGGAGCUAUCGUGGAUCGGGAUAAAAUGCAAAAUAGGUGAGUCUUCCUUGACUUCGCUUCGCGGACCUGUAGACCAGAAUUUUGCUGCGUUUUCCAACCUAUAAAUAAAUUCAUCUUUUUAGGUUUAAUAACCAUUUGAUCUUUGAUAUCAUCGGAGUGUAUAUAUAUAUAUACACACACUCUGGUGGUAUCUAGAAAGAAAAAGUCACUUCAGUGAAAACACUACUAAGUUACUCCUUGAUACCAUCAAAGUAUAUAUACACUCUGGUGGUAUCAAAGAGCGAUUCAGUGAAAAUACUACUCAAUUACUCCUUGAUACUAGGGGUGGGCAUAAAUACCGAAAAACCGAACUGAACUGAUUCGGUUCUUCAGUUUCGGUUUGGUGUUGGUGUUAUUUUUUCAAAAGUUUGGUUCUUCGAUUCGGUGUUAGGGUCUCAGAACUUCGGUGCACCGAACUGAACUUUUAUAUAUAUAUAUAUAUAUAUAUGAGAAUUUUCUUAACUAAAAAUAAAGAGUCAACUAACAAUAAAAUCAUAUAUGAACAAAUCAAAGUAGCAAGAAAUGUACAAUUCAAAUAUUAAUUUCCAAGAGGAACCAAAACAUAUUUUUUAUCAAUCUACGUAAUGUAAAAGAAUCCGUCUUCGUCCUUGUUUUUCUCGAGAAUUAGUUGGAUGCACAAUGUUCUUGACAAAAAUAAAUAUAAUCUUUUAAGUUAGCACAAUAAGUGUUCCAUGGUGAGACACAAUAUUUCUUAACAUACUUUUAAAUUUUUAAGUAUCUUAUAUUUUGAUUUUGUCCUCAUUUUAUUUUUCAUUCACACUGAAGAACCGAUUUCAAAACACCGAACUAAACCGAACCGAAGUAGAAAGAUUCAAAACGAACCAAAAUAGUUUGGUUUGGUAUACGGUACACACUUUUCUAAAACCUAAAAUCGAAGAAUCGAAUCGAAGUUUGAUAAAACCGAACCGAAGAACCGAACAUCCACCCCUUGAUACCAUUAGGUUAUAUAUAUACCCUAGUGGUAUCAAGUAUAAAUAUACCCUAAUUGUAUCAAUUUUAGCUAAAUUUAUACUUGAUACCUUCAAAGUAUAUAUAUACUCUACCGGUAUCAAUGAAGAAAAAAUCACUUUAGUCAAACAUUUGAUAUCAUCGGCAACUAUAGCAUUAACAAGAGCAGUGCCCACUAAACGAGCCAUAUGUUUCAUCCUUUUCCACCAUUUUUCAUUAACCUCACUGGCCGCAGUUGCAGGGCUUGAACCAACUUCAAUUCUUCUGAGAUGAGGAGGAGGAGACACCACCGGAGACUGAAGAGGAGCAAGACCCUUGAAGGUUGGACUUGAACCAACUUCAAUUCUUCUAAGAUGAGGAGAAGGAGACGCCAUCAAAGAGUGAUGAGGAGCAAUACCCUAGACGACGGAAGAAAUCGGUGCCGUCAGUUUCAACGACGACCGAAGCUCUCUCAGUUUCUACUAUAGUAAUAAAUAAUUAUUAGGAUUGGGCUCUAUAGCGGAAUUGGGGGUUUGAUUGGACCACUAUAGAACAAUUGAGGAUCUGAUUGGGUCGUUAUAUAACCUUUAGCUAAAAAAUUUUUACUAGUGAGACCUAAAAUCUACUUGGCGAAGAAUGAGAGACCUCACACAAGUAUUGUAUAUGUGUGUCUCUCACACCAUAAAAUAUUUUAAACAAUUUUUAUAAGUAACUUUAAAUAACUAAUAAAAUAAGAAAGUUGAUAUUUGGGGUUGGGGUUUUAUAACAGAAUGGGGGUUUUAGAAGGAAAAGCAAGUCGAAAUUUGGGGUUAGGAUUUUAGAACAGGGGUUUUAGCACAUAAAAAGGUUUUAUAAGGAGAGAUAGGGGCUUCUUCUUCUUUUUGUUUAUCUAUGUUAGUAAUAAAAGAGCGAUUAAAAACUUAAAAGAAUAA